rnacentral:rRNA from 1 species
GGGCAGGGCGCAGCUACACAUGCAAGUCGAACGGUAGCACAGAGAGCUUGCUCUCGGGUGACGAGUGGCGGACGGGUGAGUAAUGUCUGGGAAACUGCCUGAUGGAGGGGGAUAACUACUGGAAACCGUAUCCAAUACCCCUCCACGUCGCAAGAACAAAGAGGGGGAACUUCGGGCCUCUUGCCAUCCGAUGUGCCCAGAAGGGAAUAACUUAUUGGGGGGGGUUCGGCACGGCUACGAUAAGUAAUGGUCCGAGAAGAUGAUCAAACCCACUGGAACUGAAACCCGGUCCAGACUCCUCCCGGACGCGACACUGGGGAAUAUUGGACAAUGGGCUAAAGCCUGAUCCCUCCCUGCCCCGUGUGUGAAGAAGGUCUUCAGAUUGUUCUUUCUUUUAUUUGGGAUGAAGGGAUUAACCUAAUACUUUAGUGUUUUGACGUUACCGACACAAUAAGCACCGGCUAACUUCGUGCCCGCAGCCGCGGUAAUACAAAGGGUGCAAGCGUUAAUCGGAAUUACUGGUCGUAAAGCGCGCGUAGGUGGUUCGUUAAGUUG